rfam:Triticum aestivum genome assembly, contig: Triticum_aestivum_CS42_TGACv1_scaffold_030364_1BL
CAUAUACUCCCUCCGUCUGAAAAUAAUUGUCAUCAAAAUGGAUAAAAGAAGAUGUAUCUAGAUGUAUUUUCGGUGUAGGUACAUCUUUUUUUAUCCAUUUUGAUGACAAGUAUUUUUGGACGGAGGGAGUAUGAC